rnacentral:rRNA from 1 species
CGCUGAGUUUGAUCCUGGCUCAGGAUGAACGCUAGCGGCAGGCUUAACACAUGCAAGUCGAGGGGUAUAGUUCUUCGGAACUAGAGACCGGCGCACGGGUGCGUAACGCGUAUGCAAUCUACCUUUUACAGGGGGAUAGCCCAGAGAAAUUUGGAUUAAUACCUCAUAGUAUGUGAGAAUCGCAUGGUUUUUCACAUUAAAGUCACAACGGUAAAACGAUGAGCAUGCGUCCCAUUAGCUUGUUGGUAAGGUAACGGCUUACCAAGGCAACGAUGGGUAGGGGUCCUGAGAGGGAGAUCCCCCGACACUGGUACUGAGACACGGACCAGACUCCUACGGGAGGCAGCAGUGAGGAAUAUUGGACAAUGGGCGCAAGCCUGAU